rnacentral:rRNA from 1 species
AACGAACGCUGGCGGCAUGCCUAACACAUGCAAGUCGAACGAAGGCUUCGGCCUUAGUGGCGCACGGGUGCGUAACGCGUGGGAACCCUGCCCCUCGGUUCGGAAUAACAGUUAGAAAUGACUGCUAAUACCGGAUGAUGACUUCGGUCCAAAGAUUUAUCGCCGAGGGAUGGGCCCGCGUAGGAUUAGCUAGUUGGUGGGGUAAAGGCCUACCAAGGCGACGAUCCUUAGCUGGUCUGAGAGGAUGAUCAGCCACACUGGGACUGAGACACGGCCCAGACUCCUACGGGAGGCAGCAGUGGGGAAUAUUGGACAAUGGGCGAAAGCCUGAUCCAGCAAUGCCGCGUGAGUGAUGAAGGCCUUAGGGUUGUAAAGCUCUUUUACCAGGGAUGAUAAUGACAGUACCUGAGAAUAAGCUCCGGCUAACUCCGUG